rnacentral:lncRNA from 1 species
CUGAAUAUUGAUUUGUAUCCAAUAAGAGUAACUCAAUAAAAUAAAGAUCCAUCUCUCAGGAAUAAGUAAAUAAAAUUGUUAACCUUAAUGGAAUAUAAGCAAUAUGGAAAUAAGAGUUCAAAUAUCUAUAAUAACAAAUCUUCAUCAUCAGUUUCUAGUUCUGAUUCACUGACUUCAAUAAUAUCAUCAGCCAAGGUAACAUCAGUUCGGAUAACAUCAAGAUCAUUUCUUUUCCAAUUCAUAAUGUCUUCAUCAUCUUCAC